GUAGUCUCGCACAGAUGCAUAUCAAUAAGCGGAGGAAAAGAAACUAACAAGGAUUCCCCUAGUAACGGCGAGUGAAGCGGGAAGAGCUCAAACUUGAAAUCUUGAAGGGUUUCCCUUUACGAAUUGUAGUUUAAAGAAGUGUUUUCUGUUGAGGUUUUGGUAAAAGUUCUUUGGAAUAGGACAUCAUAGAGGGUGAGAAUCCCGUAUUUGACCUUUACUUUCAACUUUGUGAUACACUUUCAAAGAGUCGGAUUGUUUGGGAAUGCAGUCCAAAAUGGGUGGUAAAUUUCAUCUAAAGCUAAAUAUUGGCGAGAGACCGAUAGCGAACAAGUACCGUGAGGGAAAGAUGAAAAGAACUUUGAAAAGAGAGUUAAACAGUACGUGAAAUUGUCAAAAGGGAAGCGUUUGACACCAGUGUUGUUUUUCUGAAAAUCAAUUAAAGAACUGUUUAUGCUAAGUUGUUUAGACUUUAUCAGCUAAUCUGUUUAGUUUUGAGCUAUUCUUUAAUGCACCUUUCAGUUAACAAGUCAACAUCAAUUUCUUUUGCUGUAAAAAAGCUUGAGGAAGGUGGCUUGAGAUUCGUCUUAAGUGUUUAUAGCCUCUUGCCUAUGCAGUCGGAGAGAUUGAGGUCUGCAGCGUAGAUCCUUCGGGGCUAAAUGCAUUUGUGCUAAGUUAUAGCAUUUUAUAGACAACUUGUUGACUAUGAUUUGUCUUGUAGCUUACUCGCUUAUGUUAUUUUACCUACGCUUAGGAUGUUGAUCUGUAGUGCGUGCGC
rnacentral:rRNA from 1 species